UGAUGUGCUUUUGGAUAUUUUUUAACAAUUCAUGUGCCAGUCGUACGUAGAAACUGAACGAGUGAUUGAUGAUUACCCUGUUUCAAGUGCACGUGAAAAACUCAAUAGUGUUCAUAAUCUCGUGUGUCUGCAAAAUUUAUAUUGCCUAGUUUAUUUUGUAUCUCUUCUCAAGAAAACGCCAUUUAUCCACAGAAGUAGGUCAUUUUUAAUGGGAUUACAGUGAUCAUCGUUAAUUCUCUUUAACGGUACGGCCGCUGUUGUAAUGGAUAGGUUCAUCCACGUCUAGAUAUAUCAUCCAUCACAUUGGCGUUCAGCGCAGAACCUUCUACCACUGAAAUCUAAUCUUAUUCAUAUUGUGUUCACGGGCCACACAUUUAUAUACGCACAGAUUACAUUGAAAUGGUGCCAAAUGUGAAUCGCAUAAUAACAAUGCCGAGACACAUUUUAUCGGCCUAUUACACAGUUUUCAUGGAAUAUUUCCAUUUCAUCUAACUACGGCAACCAACGGGAUGACAAGCCUGUCUUAUACAUACCAUAUAUUUGAUGCUCAACCAACAUUACGGGUAGUGGCACCCGGAAAUUAUCAGAUAACUCUUAUCCUGUGUAGCCUCGGGCAAACAACCAAAUGUUGAUUGUACUUAUUGACGGCAUAUCAUAUAAUUUUGUGCAGUACCUGAAUGGAAUUUGCACGUUUGAUGUUUCAUGCGAAAUUUAUAACGUUAGUUUUGCUUUGUGAAGAAGUUAUUAUUUAUUAAGUUCAGGCAACUGUCAACAUCAAAACGGGCGAGCUGUAUAAUUUUGCAUUGCCGUUAUACGUUUUGAUGUUGACAGUUGCCUUAAUGGUGAGUGUCUCUGCGUCUCUCUGGUGUAUAGGCUGACUAGUUACUUAUUGUUUAAUGGGGAAUAACUUCCUCACAGAGCAAAACUAACGUUAUAAAUUUCACAUGAAACAUGUGUAUAGGCUCCUUAUAAGUAACGUAUGACCUCGUCCCUAAAAUUACGUAACGCAAAACGACGUAACGCUAAAUAAACCUUUUGGAGAUCGUCUCGAAAAUGUUGAAUUCGACCGGCGGUAGAAAAAGUAGCCACUAGACAAUGAAAGCUGAAAAUAUUAUACUUUUUGUAACUACGGAUAAAGAAUCAGUCUGUCUGGAAACACAAAAGUGAUAGUGUUUUUUUUAUGUCAAGGAAUGAAUUGUGUUCGGGAAUUUUUUAAAGAAAUUACACCACCGGUUUUGGAGCAGCUUCAAUGCAGCUCUAGCUGCAAGUUUUAUUAUUCAAAUUAUUUCAAAUCACUUCAUAAUGCGUAUUUACUUACAAUUUGAUAGUUUUUUUCUUCACCUCUUGACACGAAUGCAAUAAGGAUUUUUCAAGAAUUAAUUGUCAAUGUUCUGACACGAGUUAUUCUAGUCAUGGCGUUUGCCUACUCUUCUAGUCACUAGUUUAAGGAACUUUCAUGUAUUUAAUGUGUGUUGUCUUCAGUAUUUUAUAACCUAAAUAUAAGCAGUGUAAUUUGAAUUCAUUUCUAUCAAUUACCACAUACCAAAUGUAACAAAUCUGUGGGUAGUAUUUUCUUCAUUUCAAGUAUUAUUUUAAUAUUAUUUCACGGUGAAUAUAGGCAAAUUAAUAAAAUUUUCUAUGCGACACGUUUCUACUUUUUGAUCGAUAUUGUUUUAGAUGUAAACACCCUACGACGACGCUACCAUUGUAGACCGGCGUCGCAUAGAUCUAGCUUCUAUCACUUCUCACUCCAUAUCAUUUUGAUCGUGAGUACAGUAGAUGCUCGGUAGGUUAGCAAAUUGUGUUAUAUCGAUUGUACAUUUCCACAAAUUAAGUUUGUUGCUGGAGACACGCAAAUAACUCACAAAAAACAUACCUACUUUCAUGAAAAACUGAAACUCCCCAAACACAAUAUUGAAAUAUCUCAGAAACCAAAAAAUGACUAGAACAAGAUACCUGACUCUUGCAGUAUGCAGCAGACACGAUUGUCGCUGCGCGUGAACGAAAGUCGAACUAAUUUAUGUACUGGUAAUUUGAUGAUGACGGCAAGGUUGCGAAAGGUGAAGCCAGGCAUGUCUGAGCCCACCACACCACCGCGUGUGUGUGUCAAGCGAUGCCACGGAGAGAAUUUUCAUUGCCCUUCAGUGCUUAUACAAAACGUAAAACCCCCAGUGUUUUAAAUGAAACAGACCAUCGGAAGAUUCGGCAAACCCAGGCUCGAGCGUUCCCGACUUCGUGAGCCCUCGGGAGCCCGCUUGCUUACACGCAGCCUUAGAAAAUGUACAGUACUACGACAGCCGUUGGGCGACAUCAGUGCUUCUUCUCAAGCAACAGUAGUAACACCAACCAAAACGUAACAGCCGGCAAAAAUAAAAUUGUGCGACUUGCAACGUUGCCGUUGCGUUCUCCAUGCAUUUCAGUGAUUACAUUACAGUUGCUUUUCUCGCCUGUGCGCGAUGCAACGCAU